rnacentral:rRNA from 1 species
AUUGAACGCUGGCGGCAGGCCUAACACAUGCAAGUCGAACGAGUGGCGGACGGGUGAGUAAUGUCUGGGAACCUGCCUUAUGGAGGGGGAUAACUACUGGAACCGGUAGCUAAUACCGCAUACCAUCGGAUGUGCCCAGGUGGGAUUAGGUAGUUGGUGGGGUAACGGCUCACCAAGGCGACGAUCCCUAGCUGGUCUGAGAGGAUGACCAGCCACACUGGAACUGAGACACGGCCCAGACUCCUACGGGAGGCAGCAGUGGGGAAUAUUGCGCAAUGGGGGCAAGCCUGACGCAGCCAUGCCGCGUGAAUGAAGAAGGCCUUCGGGUUGUAAAGUACUUUCAGUAGGGAGGCGUUACCUGCAGAAGAAGCACCGGCUAACUCCGUGCCAGCCGCCGCGGUAAUAC